ACGAACGCUGGCGGCGUGCUUAACCCAUGCAAGUCGAACGGUAAGGCCCUGCUUUUGUGGGGUGCUCGAGUGGCGAACGGGUGAGUAACACGUGAGUAACCUGCCCUUGACUUUGGGAUAACUUCAGGAAACUGGGGCUAAUACCGGAUAGGAGCUCCUGCUGCAUGGUGGGGGUUGGAAAGUUUCGGCGGUUGGGGAUGGACUCGCGGCUUAUCAGCUUGUUGGUGGGGUAGUGGCUUACCAAGGCUUUGACGGGUAGCCGGCCUGAGAGGGUGACCGGCCACAUUGGGACUGAGAUACGGCCCAGACUCCUACGGGAGGCAGCAGUGGGGAAUAUUGCACAAUGGGCGGAAGCCUGAUGCAGCAACGCCGCGUGCGGGAUGACGGCCUUCGGGUUGUAAACCGCUUUCGCCUGUGACGAAGCGUGAGUGACGGUAAUGGGUAAAGAAGCACCGGCUAACUACGUG
rnacentral:rRNA from 1 species